CGGGCUGUGGUGUAACGGUAGCACGAGACGUUUGGGACGUUUUAGUCCGAGUUCAAAUCUCGGCAGCCCGACAA
rnacentral:tRNA from 6 species